UACGUAGGUCGCAAGCGUUUGUCCGGAUUUACUGGGCGUAAAGAGCGCGCAGGCGGUCGUAUAAGUCGAAUGUGAAAGCCCCCGGCUCAACUGGGGAGGGUCAUUCGAUACUGUUCGACUCGAAGGCAGGAGAGGGAAGUGGAAUUCCGGGUGUAGUGGUGAAAUGCGUAGAUAUCCGGAGGAACACCAGUGGCGAAGGCGACUUUCUGGCCUGUUCUUGACGCUGAGGCGCGAAAGCUAGGGGAGCAAACGGGG
rnacentral:rRNA from 1 species